rnacentral:rRNA from 1 species
AGGCUUAACACAUGCAAGUCGAGCGGGCGUAGCAAUACGUCAGCGGCAGACGGGUGAGUAACGCGUGGGAACAUACCUUUUGGUUCGGAACAACACAGGGAAACUUGUGCUAAUACCGGAUAAGCCCUUACGGGGAAAGAUUUAUCGCCGAAAGAUUGGCCCGCGUCUGAUUAGCUAGUUGGUAGGGUAAUGGCCUACCAAGGCGACGAUCAGUAGCUGGUCUGAGAGGAUGAUCAGCCACAUUGGGACUGAGACACGGCCCAAACUCCUACGGGAGGCAGCAGUGGGGAAUAUUGGACAAUGGGGGCAACCCUGAUCCAGCCAUGCCGCGUGAGUGAUGAAGGCCCUAGGGUUGUAAAGCUCUUUUGUGCGGGAAGAUAAUGACGGUACAGCAAGAAUA